rnacentral:rRNA from 1 species
UGGCGGACGGGUGAGUAAUGUCUGGGAAACUGCCUGAUGGAGGGGGGAAACUACUGGAAACGGUAGCUAAUACCGCAUAACGUCGCAAGACCAAAGAGGGGGACCUUCGGGCCUCUUGCCAUCGGAUGUGCCCAGAUGGGAUUAGCUAGUAGGUGGGGUAACGGCUCACCUAGGCGACGAUCCCUAGCUGGUCUGAGAGGAUGACCAGCCACACUGGAACUGAGACACGGUCCAG